UCCUCCUCUUUGCCCUCUUUGGCAUUGAGUAGGAGGAGCGCGUGCUGCCUCCAAACCUCAUCAGAGGGGAUAACUCCUUGGCUGCCAGCAUAGAGAAUAACGAAGAUAAUGUGUUUGCUCACUAUAAGUCUACUAAACUUGAGAGUCUUUGGUUCAGUUUAGCCGAUGGCCUUUCUGAAUGUGCCUCCAUGGAUGGAGCUUUGCUGAUGGCGCUGUUGGAUACAUGAAUGAAGACCGGAACAUGCAAGUUUGGGGCUACAUGUAAAUUCCAUCAUCCCAGCGAAAAAGCUGGAAUCCAGGGAAUGGUGCAGCUAAGCACGUUGGGAUACUCGCUUUGACCGAAUGUGUGUUGAAGCUCCUCCAGACGGCAUCCUCCUGCAGUAAAUCCUGGUUUUUUGAUGAAUCUGUUGUUUCUUAGAUCAUGGUUAUGGGGUUGAUGCUUUCCAACAUUGCCAGUUCAGCUAUACCAGGAAACUCAGAGGAUAAUCAAGAUCCCUUUUCGAAUAUUACUCAAUCUUAUACUAGAAGAACUUGGUGUUUCAAAGGAUGAAUUCCAUCUUGAGCUAUGCGAAUAUAUCUAAGUUUGUAUGACUGUUCUGUUUAACACCUCUGCGCUACCAGUGGAGUGUUCUCAUCUGUACCUCGAUGUUUGUAAUAAAGUAAAAAGAACUAUGAAACAGCGGGGGAUUCUUCAUGUGUAAAAGCUGUCAAAUAUGUUGACCUGGCGACAAAUACAAUCAUCAUAAGCUUCGUAUGGGCUUUGUCAAUAAGCAUUUGCUACUCCGUUUGUGAUUC